rnacentral:rRNA from 1 species
GAUGAACGCUGGCGGCGUGCCUAAUACAUGCAAGUCGAACGCAUGGUCGAUAACCUUACCUUGCUGCUGUUAGCGGCGGACGGGGGAGAACCACUUGGUUAACCUUCCUUAAACACUGCGAUAACUUCGGGAAACCGGUGCAAAUACCGGAUAAUACUUUGAACCGCAAUUUUCAAAAUGGAAAAACGGUCUUGCUGUCUCUUAUAGAUGGAUCCGCGCUGCAUUAGCUAGUUGGGAAGGUAACGGCUUACCAAGGCAACGAUGCAUAGCCGACGUGAGAGGGUGAUCGGCCACACUGGAACUGAGCCACGGUCCAGACUCCUACGGGAGGAAGAAGUAGGGAAUCUUCCGCAAUGGGCGAAAGCCUGACGGAGCAACGCCGCGUGAGUGAUGAAGGUCUUCGGAUCGUAAAACUCUGUUAUUAGGGAAGAACAUAUGUGUAAGUAACUGUGCACAUCUUGACGGUACCUAAUCAGAAAGCCACGGCUAACUACGUG